rnacentral:rRNA from 1 species
AACGAACGCUGGCGGCAUGCCUAACACAUGCAAGUCGAACGAGAUCUUCGGGUCUAGUGGCGCACGGGUGCGUAACGCGUGGGAAUCUGCCCUUUGGUUCGGAAUAACAGUUGGAAACGACCGCUAAUACCGGAUGAUGACGAAAGUCCAAAGAUUUAUCGCCAGAGGAUGAGCCCGCGUAGGAUUAGCUAGUUGGUGUGGUAAAGGCGCACCAAGGCGACGAUCCUUAGCUGGUCUGAGAGGAUGAUCAGCCACACUGGGACUGAGACACGGCCCAUACUCCGAAGGGAGGCAGCAGUGGGGAAUAUUGGACAAUGGGGGAAAGCCUGAUCCAGCAAUGCCGCGUGAGUGAUGAAGGCCUUAGGGUUGUAAAGCUCUUUUACCCGGGAUGAUAAUGACAGUACCGGGAGAAUAAGCUCCGGCUAACUCCGUGCCAGCCGCCGCCGUAA